AAUAGAUACCCCGGUAGUCCCAGCCGUAAACGAUGAGCACUGGGUUGGGGGCCCCACCGACGGGCUCCCAGCCGAAGGGAAACCGUGAAGUGCUCCGCCUGGGGAGUAUGGCCGCAAGGCUGAAACUCAAAGGAAUUGACGGGGGCUCACACAAGCGGUGGAGCAUGUGGCUUAAUUCGAGGCUACGCGAAAAACCUUAUCCCGGGCUUGACAUGCGAGGAUUAGUCGGCGGAAACGUCGAUGACGCCGCAAGGUGGAACUCGCGCAGGUGCUGCAUGGCUGUCGUCAGCUCGUGCCGUGAGGUGUUGGGUUAAGUCCCGUAACGAGCGAAACCCCUGCGACCAGUUGCCAGCGCGUCAUGGCGGGGACUCUGGUCGGACCGCCGGCGUCAAGGCCGGAGGAAGGCGGGGACGACGUCAAGUCAUCAUGGCCCUUAUGCCCGGGGCCGCACACGUGCUACAAUGGGGCGGACAAAGCGUCGCGAGGCCGCGAGGCCAAGCCAAUCGCAAAAACCGUCCCUCAGUUCGGAUUGCGGGCUGCAACCCGCCCG
rnacentral:rRNA from 1 species